GAUUAACGCUGGCGGCGUGCAUGAAACAUGCAAGUCGAGCGCGGCACCUUCGGGUGUCUAGCGGCGCACGGGUGAGUAACACGUGAGCAACCUACCUUGGAGUUCGGGAUAGCCCUGAGAAAUCAGGAUUAAUACCGGAUGCGGUCACGACGCGGCAUCGCGACGUGAAGAAAGGCGCAAGCCGCUCCAUGACGGGCUCGCGGCCUAUUAGCUUGUUGGUGGGGUAACGGCCUACCAAGGCGAAGAUGGGUAGCUGGUCUGAGAGGACGAUCAGCCA
rnacentral:rRNA from 1 species